AACGGUAGCACAGAAGAGCUUGCUCUUCGGGUGACGAGUGGCGGACGGGUGAGUAAUGUCUGGGGAUCUGCCCGAUGGAGGGGGAUAACCACUGGAAACGGUGGCUAAUACCGCAUAACGUCGCAAGACCAAAGUGGGGACCUUCGGGCCUCACACCAUCGGAUGAACCCAGAUGGGAUUAGCUAGUAGGUGGGGUAACGGCUCACCUAGGCGACGAUCCCUAGCUGGUCUGAGAGGAUGACCAGCCACACUGGAACUGAGACACGGUCCAGACUCC
rnacentral:rRNA from 1 species